CAGUCGAGCGGUAGCACAGGGGAGCUUGCUCUCUGGGUCACGAGCGGCACACGGGAGAAAUAUGUCUGGAAAACUGCCUGGUGGGGGGGGAUAACUUGUGAAAAGGGUCUAUAAUCCCGUAUAACCUCACAACACCAAAGGGGGGGCCCUUGGGGCCUUUUGCCNUCAUAUGCCCCCAGAGGGGAUUAGCUAGUGGGGGGGGUAAGGUCUCCCCUACGACAAUAUCCCUAUGUGGUCUGAGAAGAAGACCCCCCACUGUGGAACUGACACACGGCCCACACUCCUACGGGGGGCAGCUGUGGAAAAUAUUGCACAGGGGGCGCACGCCUGACGCACCCGUGCCGCGUGUAAGAAAAGCGUCUUCGGGUUGUAAAGUUUUUUCAGCGAAGAAGAGGGUUUUGUGGUUAAUCCCCACAGUGAUUGACUUUUCUCACAGAAAAAACCCCGGAUAUCUCCGUGCCCACCCCCGCGGUAAUGCAGAGGGUGCAAGCGUUUAUCAAAUUUACUGGGCAUAACGCGCACACGGGCGGUCUGUCGAGUCAGAUGUGAACUCCCCGGUCUCACUGUGAAAUCUGCAUUCAACUGUGGCGGGCUAGACUCGUGUAGAGGGGGAUAGAAUUCCGUGUGUAGCGGAGAAGUGCAUAGAUAUCUGGAAGUACACCUGUGGAGAGCGCGGCCCUGUGCAAAACACUGACUCUCGUGUGCAAAGCGUGGAGAGCACACGAGAUAUACACUGUGAUACUCCACCCCA
rnacentral:rRNA from 1 species